UACGGGGGGGUGCGAGCGUUGUCCGGAAUCACUGGGCGUAAAGGGCGCGUAGGUGGUUUGAUAAGGGUGUGGUGAAAGUCCGGGGCUCAACCCCGGAUCUGCCGUGCCGACUGUCAAACUCGAGGGCUGUAGAGGCAGACGGAAUUCCGGGUGUAGCGGUGGAAUGCGUAGAUAUCGGGAGGAACACCUGUGGCGAAAGCGGCUCUCUGGACCACAACUGACGCUGAGGCGCGAAAGCUAGGGGAGCAAACAGGG
rnacentral:rRNA from 1 species